GAGACCUAUUGUCCUCCCCCCAGGCCCCCACCCCUGGAAAUCUCACGCUGUGUAAAAUGACACAGAGCACGGUGAUUGGAUGGCAGGGGUGGGGGCCUGGGGGGGGAGGACAGUAGGUCA